CAAGUUUUCAUAUGACAAGUUUUAUUUACUGGUGUGAACGUGUCAACAAGUUUACUUUGACAAUUUAUUAGUGGCCAGCUGGCCAAUUACAUCAAAUGCUCAGAUUACUUUGACAAGUUUUCUUUGUUGACCCAUACAGACGAACAAAAUUUGUACUUUGACAAUUUUUUUCUAGCUAGCAUGCUAGCUUUUGAACAAGACAAGUGCACUUGUCAUAGAAAAACUUGUCAAAGUUGCGCGUACAGACGAGCAAAUAAAACUUGUCACAUAAAAACUUGUCAUAGAAAACUUGCUCGUCUUUAACCGGCUUAAGUAGCCUAACAAUAUACAUAGCAUAAAUUAAUUGACAUUUGUAUAUUCAUAAAUUUCAUGUAGUUUUAAAGCAGUUAAUGUUAAAAUUUUGAGACGUGUACAAUAUAUAGCUAGCACUAGUUGCAUAUUCAUAAAUUUCAUGUAGUUUUAAAAGCAGUUAUUGUUAGAAUUUUGAGAAGUGUAUAAAAUACAUAGCUAGCACUCAGGGCCGCACAGAGAAAUUCGGGAGCCCGGGGCAAAUUUUUAAUUCAGGGCCCCUAUUUAGGGGGAGUAAAAAAAAUUUCUCAGACAUAUCCAAAAAAAGGUUCAAAA